GACGAACGUUGGCGGCGUGCUUAACACAUGCAAGUCGAACGGAAAGGCCCUGCUUUUGUGGGGUGCUCGAGUGGCGAACGGGUGAGUAACACGUGAGUAACCUGCCCUUGACUUUGGGAUAACUUCAGGAAACUGGGGCUAAUACCGGAUAGGAGCUCCUGCUGCAUGGUGGGGGUUGGAAAGUUUCGGCGGUUGGGGAUGGACUCGCGGCUUAUCAGCUUGUUGGUGGGGUAGCGGCUUACCAAGGCUUUGACGGGUAGCCGGCCUGAGAGGGUGACCGGCCACAUUGGGACUGAGAUACGGCCCAGACUCCUACGGGAGGCAGCAGUGGGGAAUAUUGCACAAUGGGCGGAAGCCUGAUGCAGCAACGCCGCGUGCGGGAUGACGGCCUUCGGGUUGUAAACCGCUUUCGCCUGUGACGAGGCGUGAGUGACGGUAAUGGGUAAAGAAGCACCGGCUAACUACGUGCCAGCAGCCGCGGUGAUACGUAGGGUGCGAGCGUUGUCCGGAUUUAUUGGGCGUAAAGGGCUCGUAGGUGGUUGAUCGCGUCGGAAGUGUAAUCUUGGGGCUUAACCCUGAGCGUGCUUUCGAUACGGGUUGACUUGAGGAAGGUAGGGGAGAAUGGAAUUCCUGGUGGAGCGGUGGAAUGCGCAGAUAUCAGGAGGAACACCAGUGGCGAAGGCGGUUCUCUGGGCCUUUCCUGACGCUGAGGAGCGAAAGCGUGGGGAGCGAACAGGCUUAGAUACCCUGGUAGUCCACGCUGUAAACGGUGGGUACUAGGUGUGGGGUCCAUUCCACGGGUUCCGUGCCGUAGCUAACGCUUUAAGUACCCCGCCUGGGGAGUACGGCCGCAAGGCUAAAACUCAAAGGAAUUGACGGGGCCCCGCACAAGCGGCGGAGCAUGCGGAUUAAUUCGAUGCAACGCGUAGAACCUUACCUGGGUUUGACAUGGAUCGGGAGUGCUCAGAGAUGGGUGUGCCUCUUUUGGGGUCGGUUCACAGGUGGUGCAUGCCUGUCGUCAGCUCGUGUCGUGAGAUGUUGGGUUAAGUCCCGCAACGAGCGCAACCCUUGUUCACUGUUGCCAGCACGUUAUGGUGGGGACUCAGUGGAGACCGCCGGGGUCAACUCGGAGGAAGGUGGGGAUGACGUCAAGUCAUCAUGCCCCUUAUGUCCAGGGCUUCACGCAUGCUACAAUGGCUGGUACAGAGAGUGGCGAGCCUGUGAGGGUGAGCGAAUCUCGGAAAGCCGGUCUCAGUUCGGAUUGGGGUCUGCAACUCGACCUCAUGAAGUCGGAGUCGCUAGUAAUCGCAGAUCAGCAACGCUGCGGUGAAUACGUUCCCGGGGCU
rnacentral:rRNA from 1 species